UCACUUCCACCCAGCAAAGAUAAACAAGAUUUAAGUAAGAGAAAAAGAAAAAUAUGAUCUUGGUCAUUCCAUAGCUCCAAAAACGUAAAACCCUACAUGGUCUCCAAGAGAGAGUUCAUACAUGCAAAGUGAAAAUGAAAAGUGGAGACAAGAAGUGUGUGUCUCGGCCUCCAAGCUAAAAUGCCGUCCAAGCUCUAAGAAAUGGCGGGGUCCACCUUCUAAAGAAACCCUAGCCAAAGGCCACAUGUCCUACACAUUGGGCUUCUACUAUUUUGCCACAAAAAGGGCCCAAUACAUAAAAUCCUAACUAAAGUUUCUAGAAAACUAAGUUACAAUUUAAUUAAAAUUGAAAUAACUAAAUGUUGAGUCUUUAAUGUUCACGCCACCAUCCUAAUGCUCCAAAUGAUGUUUCCC
rnacentral:lncRNA from 1 species